GAAAUUUAUAAUACCAAACUACCUACAUUACGUGGCGUAGUACAAGUGGCAAGUCUGAGUUGAUCCACAAGGAAGCGCGCUAUGUUUCGUUAGGCCAAUUCACUAGUUAUAACGGUGAACAGGGAUUGUGUGUGGCAUAGAAUUAGAUGCGGAAAAAUAAAUUGAGAAAGUAAAAUAAAGAGUAAAUGUAAUUUAGGGAUGG
rnacentral:misc_RNA from 1 species